GACGAAUAGGACAAGUGUUAUUCUUCGUGAUUGGGCGUAAAGGGUGCGUAGGCAGUUUUUUAAACUUUCUUAGAAAUUCCAUAUUUGUAAUAUGGUAAUAAUUAACAGAUUAUUUUACUAGAGUUUCUUUGAAGUUAGUGGAACUUACAAAGUAUAUUUUACAUAUAUUGGAUAUUGAAGGGACCACCGAAAGUGUAGACAACUAACUAUGGGAGACUAACGUUGAGGCACGGAAGGUUUGGGUAGCAAACAGGG
rnacentral:rRNA from 1 species